CCCUUAGAUGCUCUGGGCCGCACGCGCGCUACACUGGUCGAUGCAACGAGUUUCUUUCCUUGGCCGACAGGCCUGGGCAAUCUUUGAACAUCGAUCGUGAUCGGGAUAGAUUCUUGUAAUUUUUGAUCUUAAACGAGGAAUUCCUAGUAAACGCAAGUCAUCAGCUUGCAUUGAUUACGUCCCUGCCCUUUGUACACACCGCCCGUCGCACCUACCGAUUGAAUGGUCCGGUGAAGCCUCCGGAUUGGCGCGCACCUCGGUGCCGCCGAGAAGUUGGCUAAACCUUACCAUUUAGAGGAAGGUGAAGUCGUAACA
rnacentral:rRNA from 1 species